rfam:Rattus norvegicus chromosome 3, whole genome shotgun sequence.
GGGGAUUUAGCUCAGUGGUAGAGCGCUUGCCUAGCAAGCACAAAGCCCUGGGUUCGGUCCCCAGCUCUG